AGAGUUUGAUCAUGGCUCAGGAUGAACGCUGGCGGCGUGCCUAAUACAUGCAAGUCGAGCGAAUGGAUUGAGAGCUUGCUCUCAAGAAGUUAGCGGCGGACGGGUGAGUAACACGUGGGUAACCUGCCCAUAAGACUGGGAUAACUCCGGGAAACCGGGGCUAAUACCGGAUAACAUUUUGAGCUGCAUGGUUCGAAAUUGAAAGGCGGCUUCGGCUGUCACUUAUGGAUGGACUCGCGUCGCAUUAGCUAGUUGGUGAGGUAACGGCUCACCAAGGCAACGAUGCGUAGCCGACCUGAGAGGGUGAUCGGCCACACUGGGACUGAGACACGGCCCAGACUCCUACGGGAGGCAGCAGUAGGGAAUCUUCCGCAAUGGACGAAAGUCUGACGGAGCAACGCCGCGUGAGUGAUGAAGGCUUUCGGGUCGUAAAACUCUGUUGUUAGGGAAGAACAAGUGCUAGUUGAAUAAGCUGGCACCUUGACGGUACCUAACCAGAAAGCCACGGCUAACUACGUGCCAGCAGCCGCGGUAAUACGUAGGUGGCAAGCGUUAUCCGGAAUUAUUGGGCGUAAAGCGCGCGCAGGUGGUUUCUUAAGUCUGAUGUGAAAGCCCACGGCUCAACCGUGGAGGGUCAUUGGAAACUGGGAGACUUGAGUGCAGAAGAGGAAAGUGGAAUUCCAUGUGUAGCGGUGAAAUGCGUAGAGAUAUGGAGGAACACCAGUGGCGAAGGCGACUUUCUGGUCUGUAACUGACACUGAGGCGCGAAAGCGUGGGGAGCAAACAGGAUUAGAUACCCUAGUAGUCC
rnacentral:rRNA from 1 species